rnacentral:lncRNA from 10 species
UUUGAAUUAUUUAUUUGAUAGAAUUAUGUUCUUGAAUAAUCUUAUGACAAUAUAAAGGUCUCAAUGUGUAUUCUGUUGUGUUUCUAAAAGACACACUAUUCUGAAAGGCGCUAAAAAUUUUUUGUGUAACUAUCUUCUUUUAAGGAAAGUACUACAUAAUGUCCACUAGAGGGCACCCUUGUAAUCCAUAACUGAUUUAAAACAAACAUUUAAUUAUAAUCAAAUUUAAUAUUUUGGAAAUUAAUAUUAUUUCAACAGAGAAACAAAAGAGAAAAAUAACUUUCUGUCACAUUAACAAUAUGGAGAGUGUAUUUUUCAAAGUGAACUCAAAAGAUCAAUUUAUAAAUUAUUGACAUUAGUAUUAAUAUAAUUAGUCUACAUAUAUCUUUGGAACGCUGACUGCUAAAAUGUGUUUUCAUUUAGGCAGUAUUUUUUUUAUGGACAUGGACGUGUGUUAAAAGAAGAACAUUCACUUAACUUAUUUCAAAAGAGUUGAUCACUUGAAGGUUUUUUUUUGUUUUUGUUUUUUUUCUGAGGCAGAGUUUGGCAUGAUCUUGGCUCACCGCAACCUCUGCCUCCCGGGUUCAAGUGAUUCUCCUGCCUCAGCCUCCCGAGUAGUUGGGAUUAUAGGCAUGCAUCACUAUGCCUGGCUAAUUUUGUAUUUUUAGUAGAGAUGGAGUUUCUCCGUGUUGGCCAGGCUGGUCUCGAACUCCUGACCUCAAGUGAUCCGCCUGCCUCGGCCUCCAAACGUGCUGGGAUUACAGGCAUGAGCGACUGUGCCUGGCCUAUCGCUUGAAGUUUUACAAUAUUUUCUUAUUACUUUAACAUUUCAGCUUGAUAACAGUGUUCUCAAUACUGAGCCAAAUUACACAGUGAUAAAAAUAAAGAUUGUCUUGCUUAUCAUGAUUUGAUUCAAUUAUUUGUAUUAUUUUGUAAACGUUUAUUUUACAAAGUAAAGUAUUCUUUCUAAUUUUCUGCCCCACUCUCACCCCAUGUAACAACUAUCUUUCUUUUUUUGAUUUACAAUCACUUUUUUUUUGGUCAAAAGUAAGUGGUUACUCUCCUCUAUAAACACUGAGUACACCAUUUCUUUCCUGACCAGUAAGGCAAA